rnacentral:rRNA from 1 species
AUUGAACGCUGGCGGCAGGCCUAACACAUGCAAGUCGAACGAGUGGCGGACGGGUGAGUAAUGUCUGGGAAACUGCCUGAUGGAGGGGGAUAACUACUGGAAACGGUAGCUAAUACCGCAUACCAUCAGAUGUGCCCAGAUGGGAUUAGCUUGUUGGUGGGGUAACGGCUCACCAAGGCGACGAUCCCUAGCUGGUCGGAGAGGAUGACCAGCCACACUGGAACUGAGACAGGGUCCAGACCCCGACGGGAGGCAGAGUUGGGGAAUAUUGGACAAUGGGCGCAAGCCGGAUGCGGCCAUGCGGUGGGUAUGAAGAAGGCCUUGGGGUUUUAAAGUACUUGCAGCGGGGAGGCGUUACCCGCAGAAGAAGCACCGGCUAACUCCGUGCCAGCAGCCGCGGUAAUAC